rnacentral:lncRNA from 10 species
CCGUAUUAAGAAGGGGAUGGACUUAUCCUCUACUGCGAGAGUUACCUAGAGCAUCUGUGACGGUCCUGUAGGCUUCCGAGGCGAUCGGGCAGUGUCAGUCUUCAGCUGCUAAGCCGAGAAGAUCUGGGAAGGAGUCAGUCAGAGAGCCUUGGGCCAGAGUUCCAGGGGCUCUGGAACUGGCUGCCAGAAGUGCAGUUUGGAGAGGAAAGAAGCCGUAUCUCAGUCCUUUCACCAAUAGCUGAUGUAAUCUCAAGAGAGUUGCAUUUCCCACAGUGGAGACUUCACACAUCACAGCUAAAUCCUCCAAGACGACUCGGCUGUGGAAUCCUAAUGAAGAAUGCAAUAGGUUGCUUAUGAGCAGGAGCUCAUGCAAUUCCUCUCCAGAGGUGGAAGGCCGAGAACCCUGCUUGGGCCGUGGUGGGUGGCGUGAGGAGCUCACAGCGGAGCCUUAGGAGGCCAUUCUGUGUGGAUUUGUAUCACCGCCCUUUUCAUCAAUGACUCCAAGAAGGAGCUGCAAGUACCACAGGCUUCCAGAUCUUCAGGUGUGGCCUGGGACAGUGUGCGUGCCUGUAUUCUCAGCUACUCGGGAGGCUGAGGAGGGAGGAUCACUUUGAGGCCAGGAGUUUGAGGCUGCAGUAAGCUAGUGUCACACCACUGCAUUCUAGCCUGGGUGACAGAGACCUCAUCUCUAAAACAAACAAACAAAUAAAACAGCUGUGGAGGACGCACCUGCUGGUAGCUCCCUGUUUACCAUAUUCUGCCCACUGGGGUCUCUUUCAGACCCUCAAGCAAUCUCUUUCCUGCCCUGAGGCCUUUGCACAGCUGCUCCCUCUGCCCGUGAGUCCCAACCUUCCUCCUGUCUGGGCAUUCUUCCCACCCUUCAGAGAUCAGCUGAAGCAUCUCCUGGCAGAGAAGCUGUUUUAAGGGGACCAAGGAUUUGUUUCCUCAGGUCUGGUGAGACUCAUGAGCAUGGGACUGACUGUCAUGAAGGAGGAAGUUUAUAUGCGCAGGUCCCUAGAAACAGGAGGCCCGGCACGCCACUCAGAGCCGCACGGGGAGGCGCCACGUGGGUCAGGAGGCAGAGGGGGAGUGAGGGAGCGGUGGGCAAGAGCCUUUGCUGUGAUUUCCGUGGGAAGGAAGGAGUGGGGCAGGGUAAGUGGGCUGAGGAUGGGCUAGUUUGGAUCAUCUAAAGGCUGUAGGGCACAGGGACUCUCCCUAGUUGUCUGGUACCUGGGGUGAUUAGGGCAGGAGAGAGUGGUCCAGAAUAUGACAGCACCAUACAGGAGGUGGUUGGGGUGUUGGCUCUGGAUGGGUUGGUUUGCAUUUGAAAGGCUUGUUCACUUGCAGGCGAAUUGUUUACUCUCUCUAGGAAUUGACUCACCCUGGGAGGGGUAGUCCCUCCAGGAUCAGCAAGACCCCAGAGCAAAUGCAUCAGAAGUAUCACAAAUAAAGGGCGUGCUUAGUCCAGAGACCUUCCCAUAAGCACUCCAUGUCUCUAUAAUGUUUAUCAUAUUUCCUCUCUCUCCUCUAGUUUUGUCAGUUUCCUACACUAGAACACAAGGUCUGGGGGAAGGGGCCACAUGUGUGUUUACUAAUGCAUUCUGUGUCUAACUGCUGUCUGGAACUUAGUAGAUGCCAUUUUUUCUUUUUUUUCUGUGAGAUGGAGUCUCACUCUGUGGCCCAGGCUGGAGCGCAGUGGCGCGAUCUCAGCUCACUGCAAGCUCCGUCUCCUGGGUUCACGCCAUUCUCCUGCCUCAGCCUCCUGAGUAGCUGGGGCUACAGGUGCCCGCCACCGCACCCGG